rnacentral:rRNA from 1 species
CAGUAGCCGCGGUAAUACGUAGGGUCCGAGCGUUGUCCGGAAUUAUUGGGCGUAAAGGGCUCGUAGGCGGUUUGUUGCGUCGGGAGUGAAAACCGGGUGCUUAACACCUGGCUUGCUUUCGAUACGGGCAGACUUGAGGCAUGCAGGGGAGAACGGAAUUCCUGGUGUAGCGGUGAAAUGCGCAGAUAUCAGGAGGAACACCGGUGGCGAAGGCGGUUCUCUGGGCAUGUUCUGACGCUGAGGAGCGAAAGUGUGGGGAGCGAACAGGAUUAGAUACCCCAGUAGUCCCUGUCUCUUAUAA